CCUACGGGUGGCAGCAGUGAGGAAUAUUGGUCAAUGGACGAGAGUCUGAACCAGCCAAGUAGCGUGAAGGAUGACUGCCCUAUGGGUUGUAAACUUCUUUUAUAUGGGAAUAAAAUGUUCCACGUGUGGGCUUUUGUAUGUACCAUAUGAAUAAGGAUCGGCUAACUCCGUGCCAGCAGCCGCGGUAAUACGGAGGAUCCGAGCGUUAUCCGGAUUUAUUGGGUUUAAAGGGAGCGUAGGUGGAUUGGUAAGUCAGUUGUGAAAGUUUGCGGCUCAACCGUAAAAUUGCAGUUGAAACUGGCAGUCUUGAGUACAGUAGAGGUGGGCGGAAUUCGUGGUGUAGCGGUGAAAUGCUUAGAUAUCACGAAGAACUCCGAUUGCGAAGGUAGCUCACUGGACUGCAACUGACACUGAGGCUCGAAAGUGUGGGUAUCAAACAGGAUUAGAUACCCCAGUAGUC
rnacentral:rRNA from 1 species